UACAGAGGGUGCAAGCGUUGUUCGGAAUUACUGGGCGUAAAGCGCGCGCAGGCGGCCAUUCAAGUCAGGGGUGAAAGCCCAGAGCUCAACUCUGGAACUGCCCUUGAAACUGUAUGGCUUGAGUAUGAGAGAGGUGAGUGGAAUUCCCAGUGUAGAGGUGAAAUUCGUAGAUAUUGGGAAGAACACCAGUGGCGAAGGCGGCUAACUGGUCCAGUACUGACGCUGAGGUGCGAAAGCGUGGGGAGCAAACAGGG
rnacentral:rRNA from 1 species